rnacentral:lncRNA from 1 species
GGCAAAGAGAAGGGACAGGUGUCCCUUGUAGUCCCUACCCUCAGCCCAGGAGAUCCUCCUCCUCCGGUCACAUCAUCUGAGGCUGCAGUCCCAGUUCAGCCUGUGUCCUGGCCUACCUUCUGAGCUGUUCCGGCCACUGAGAAGCAGUCUGUCUGUGUUUGCCAGGGAACCUGAACCCAUGCUCACUGAAUCAUUCUGGGUGCUGUCAUGAAGGUGGCCAGAGUCAUGGUGCCGACACUGGAACUGUCCUGGGCUCCCAGGUCUUUCCUCUGCUCCAUUCUGGCUUAGAAGGAAGGUGGUUAAUAUCAUCCAGGACUUCCAAGUGUCUCAUCAUCCACGUUGUAUUGUGGUGGAUGCCUCAUGCUGGUCUGCUCCUAGCUGCACCUCCAGAAUCUUUCCACACCGAAUCACCUCUGACUCUGCGAGGCCCCGGUGCAGUGACCUUCCUCACCUUCACUCCAGCGAAAUCCUGUGACAGGAGCAGCAACAGCAUCCUGAAUAAAAUCUCCUCCUUGCCAGGUGCAUGUGGAAUUGCUAAAAGUCCAUGGAGAUGCUAUAAGAGUCUGCCCUUGGCCAUGAGCUUCUGGACAGGUGGUCAUCCCAUUAUCAUCUAACAUCAGAUGUGUUCACAAUAGUUAACUUUAUAUCUCAAUAUGAAGCUAGAGGAUAUCAUUUCAGCUGGGACAAAAAUAAAUAUCACUAGCAUACAAUAGUAUAUUAUGUAUCCACUUGUGGGGAAAGGAUGAGCAUGUUUGUAAUGUUUCGGCUAGUUUAUCAAUUAUUUGGAAGCAUGGCUGCCAAUAUUCUCUUUAUUAGGAGAUUGUGGUUUGCCUGGAUUGGGUGGGUUUCACAUGGAUGAGGUUGGACUGUGGUGGCUUAUUAAGCACCAACAUUGACAGACUGAACUGUAUUUCACAAAACUGUUUUCUCUCUAUAUUCCCGGGUAGUGUAAAGAAAGAUUCUUGUGCAAGAUUUGGGGGGUAGAAGUGACACUACACCCAUUUUGUGUCUCAUUCUGUGGUUGGAUAUCUUCAGGUCACUUUGUAGGAGGAGGCAACUUCCCCGAUGUCCCCCAUUCACCCUCAGGAUGGAUGUGACUCUCCAACUGUCUGUCAGAACCAGAGCACCUAGUAUGUCUGCAUCUUUUCUUUUUGUUUAAUAAUACAAGGAACAAUCUAAUCUAUUG